rnacentral:rRNA from 1 species
AUUGAACGCUGGCGGCAUGCCUUACACAUGCAAGUCAAACGGCAGCACGGGUGCUUGCACCUGGUGGCGAGUGGCGAACGGGUGAGUAAUACAUCGGAACAUGUCCUGUAGUGGGGGAUAGCCCGGCGAAAGCCGGAUUAAUACCGCAUACGAUCUACGGAUGAAAGCGGGGGACCUUCGGGCCUCGCGCUAUAGGGUUGGCCGAUGGCUGAUUAGCUAGUUGGUGGGGUAAAGGCCUACCAAGGCGACGAUCAGCAGCUGGUCUGAGAGGACGACCAGCCACACUGGGACUGAGACACGGCCCAGACUCCUACGGGAGGCAGCAGUGGGGAAUUUUGGACAAUGGGCGAAAGCCUGAUCCAGCAAUGCCGCGUGUGUGAAGAAGGCCUUCGGGUUGUAAAGCACUUUUGUCCGGAAAGAAAUCCUUGGCCCUAAUACGGUCGGGGGAUGACGGUACCGGAAGAAUAAGCACCGGCUAACUACGUG